GCCUCGGUAGCUCAAUGGAUAGAGCGAUGUUUUGACUAAGCAUUAGAUGCAGGUUCGAGUCCUGUCCGGGGCA
rnacentral:tRNA from 1 species